UAGGGGCGGCAGGUAGCCUAGUGGUUAGAGUGUAGGGGCGGCAGGUAGCCUAGUGGUUAGAGUGUAGGGGCGGCAGGUAGCCUCGUGGUUAGAGUGUAGGGGCGGCAGGUAGCCUCGUGGUUAGAGUGUAGGGGCGGCAGGUAGCCUAGUGGUUAGAGUGUAGGGGCGGCAGGUAGCCUAGUGGUUAGAGUGUAGGGGCGGCAGGUAGCCUAGUGGUUAGAGUGUAGGGGCGGCAGGUAGCCUAGUGGUUAGAGUGUAGGGGCGGCAGGUAGCCUAGUGGUUAGAGUGUAGGGGCGGCAGGUAGCCUAGUGGUUAGAGUGUAGGGGCGGCAGGUAGCCUAGUGGUUAGAGUGUAGGGGCGGCAGGUAGCCUCGUGGUUAGAGUGUAGGGGCGGCAGGUAGCCUAGUGGUUAGAGUGUAGGGGCGGCAGGUAGCCUCGUGGUUAGAGUGUAGGGGCGGCAGGUAGCCUAGUGGUUAGAGUGUAGGGGCGGCAGGUAGCCUCGUGGUUAGAGUGUAGGGGCGGCAGGUAGCCUAGUGGUUAGAGUGUAGGGGCGGCAGGUAGCCUCGUGGUUAGAGUGUAGGGGCGGCAGGUAGCCUA